rnacentral:rRNA from 1 species
AUAGUGGCGAACGGGUGAGUAACGCGUAAGUAACCUACCUCUAAGUGGGGGAUAGCUUCGGGAAACUGAAGGUAAUACCGCAUGUGGUGGGCCGACAUAUGUUGGUUCACUAAAGCCGUAAGGCGCUUGGUGAGGGGCUUGCGUCCGAUUAGCUAGUUGGUGGGGUAAUGGCCUACCAAGGCUUCGAUCGGUAGCUGGUCUGAGAGGAUGAUCAGCCACACUGGGACUGAGACACGGCCCAGACUCCUACGGGAGGCAGCAGCAAGGAAUCUUGGGCAAUGGGCGAAAGCCUGACCCAGCAACGCCGCGUGAGGGAUGAAGGCUUUCGGGUUGUAAACCUCUUUUCAUAGGGAAGAAUAAUGACGGUACCUGUGGAAUAAGCUUCGGCUAACUACGUGCCAGCAGCCGCGGUAAUACGUAGGAAGCAAGCGUUAUCCGGAUUUAUUGGGCGUAAAGUGAGCGUAGGUGGUCUUUCAAGUUGGAUGUGAAAUUUCCCGGCUUAACCGGGACGAGUCAUUCAAUACUGUUGGACUAGAGUACAGCAGGAGAAAACGGAAUUCCCGGUGUAGUGGUAAAAUGCGUAGAUAUCGGGAGGAACACCAGAGGCGAAGGCGGUUUUCUAGGUUGUCACUGACACUGA